rnacentral:misc_RNA from 1 species
AAUGGAAAAAUGUUUAAGGUUCAAUUAGAGGAGGUUCCACCACUAUCUGAAACUCAUGAGAGAUUUAUUAGACCUGUGAUUAGAUUGCAAGAUAAAAAUAUUGUCCUCACUCCUAUUAAUCCUGAGAUUCGUGAUACCAGUGUGCUUGUGAGGUUAAGGCCUGCAUGGGAGGAUUUGCGAAGUUAUUUAAUUGCAAAAGGACACAAACGAUUUGAAGUUUAUGUUUG